ensembl:lncRNA
GUUCUGUCUGUCUCUUCCUGGUUAUGGAUUCUAGUUCUGUCUGUCUCUUCCUGGUUAUGGAUUCUAGUUCUGUCUGUCUCUUCCUGGUUAUGGAUUCCAUCGCUAUCUGUGUUUAGUUCUGUCUGUCUCUUCCUGGUUAUGGAUUCUAGUUCUGUCUGUCUCUUCCUGGUUAUGGAUUCUAGUUCUGUCUGUCUCUUCCUGGUUAUGGAUUCUAGUUCUGUCUGUCUCUUCCUGGUUAUGGAUUCUAGUUCUGCCUGUCUCUUCCUGGUUAUGGAUUCUAGUUCUGCCUGUCUCUUCCUGGUUAUGGAUUCCAUUGCUAUCUGUGUUUAGUUCUGUCUUCGUUUUAAGAAUUAUGUCGUCAGUUAAUGGAGAAAGAAAGAGAAAGCAUGUCUUGUGUUUAAAAUGUAAGAGUCUGAUCUGAUUCAUUUAUAUCAGGGCAAGCCGUAGAUAUACAUAACAGAGUUCUGGAAACUAUCCUCCAUUUCAGCUCCAAAUUUCCAAUCCCAAUCUCUAUGGAUAACUCUAUUUCUGGGUAAAUCUUUGAGUCUUCUUGGUUUUGCCCUCUCCCACGCCCUGAGUUUAUUUGCACAGUGACAGUGGACCAGGCCUGUCCCGUCUUAGAGAUGAAGUGCAGUGAGGAAAAAAAUAAUGUCAAAAAAUUUGUCCAAGUCAACGUGGAUUUCCUUGUUGUUAUUACUGUCAUCGUCCAAUUUGUGCUUCACUACAAAGCCUGAGAUUUGGAUUGAAUCCCAAAUGGUGUGCUGUAUGUUGCUCCUAGCCUGUGUGGUUGUCAGAUGUGUUUCAGCUUUUGCCCACUUUAGUAAGUAAACUGCUUUUGUUGACUCAAACAUUGGUUGGUUGUAGUGACAGUGCCAUUGUGUCAAUAAUGAGGAAAGCCAAAAUGCCAAAGGUUGGGCCUUUUGGCAAUUUGAAGAGAUCAUUAAAAAAAUGUUUUCUAGGACUCUUCUGUUGACGAUGUAUAAAAUGUAUGUUGGUCUGAUGUGUAUGAGGAAGGGAAUCCAGGUGUGUAUGAGGAAGGGAAUCCAGGUGUGUAUGAGGAAGGGAAUCCAGAUGUGUAUGAGGAAGAGAAUACAGAUGUGUAUGAGGAAGGGAAUCCAGUUGUGUAUGAGGAAGGGAAUCCAGAUGUGUAUGAGGAAGAGAAUCCAGAUGUAGUACUGGAAGUAUUUGUAGAAAUAUUCCUGCCAGUUGUUGCCCAGCACCUGUUUAGUAUAUAACUGGAAGAACUGUUAGGGCCCCUGGAUCGAUGAUGAAUUUAAGAAUCGUAUGGUUCAAAGACACAAUGAAAAAGAGGUGACAUCACAAGUCAGGCUGCUCAGCUGAUUGGUUGACAUUCUGUAACUUGAGACAUUUUGUGACUAAACUUAACAAAAAUCAAUAAAUAAAAAUUAUAUUUCCAAACCAAGAUAAAUGACAUAAAACACAAUGGAAAAGGCUUUGGAGAACCUUAAAUUAUAUCAUGGGCAGAAAACCCAAUUCAUUUCCAUCGUUCAUUGAAGUUUAUGGAUAAUUUAUAACAAAACCUUUUGAUAUUAACCAAUCAUUUCAAUGACUAUUUAACUAGUAAAGUGGAAAAACUCAGAGGUGAAAUUAAAACAUUGAACAAGUGAACCAUCAUAUGUUUAUAUAAAAUAUCUAAUAAUGAAAAAGGAUUUUGCUGUUUUCAAUUUGGUCAAGUUAGUGUUGGAGAGGUGGAAAAACCAUUGUUAUCUAUCAAUAAUGAUAAGCCUAUAGGUAUAGACAACCAUGAUGGGGAACUAUAUAGAAUGGCAGCAGACUGUAUCGCCACCCCUAUUUGCUCUGUCUUUAACCAAAGCCUAAAGGAGUGGGUGUGUCCACAGGCGUGGAAGGAAGUUAAACCAAAUCCACUGCCUAAAAAUAGUAAAGCACCCUUUGCUGGCUCUAACAGCCGACCAAUCAGUUUGCUGCCUGUUCUUAUUAAACUGAUGGAGACAAUUGUGUUUGACCAAAUACAAUGCCAUUUUUCAGAGAACAAGUUAACUCCUGACUUUCAACAUGGGGCACUCAACUUGUACGGCACUGACUCAGAUGACUGAUGAUUGGUUAAAAGAAACGGAUAGUAAGAUAAUAGUCGGAGCUGAAAUGUUAGAUUUCAUUGAGGCCUUUGAUGUUUAUUGAAGAAACUCACUUGCUAUGGUUUUACAUCACCUGCCAUUGGAAUGGGUUAGAAUGUUGGAUAAAUUACAUUCCAUUGGGUUGGAAUGUUAUUUAUCCAAUAGGACCCAGAGAGUGUUCUUCAAUGGAAGCUUCUCUAACAUCAGAUAUGUACAGUGCGGUGUCCCUCAGGGCAGUUGACUUGGGCACUUCCUCUUCUCUAUUAUUCCAAAUGAGUUGCCACUGGUCUUACACAAAGCUACAAUGACUAAUGCUGAUGAUUCCACAGUCUACAUGUCAGCACCCAAAGCCAGUGAGCUCACUGAAAUUCUAGUUACAGUUAGUAUCAGAAUGGGUCAUUAAUACUGAACUGGUUUUUAAUAAAUAUAGAACUAAAAGCAUUGUGUUUGGUUCAAAAACAUUCUCUAAGACCUAAACCUAAACUGGAGUUGUACAUAAAGGGUGUGGAAGACGUGGAUGUCGAUUAAGGCAGCCCCCCGCACCUCUCUGAUUCAGAGUGGUUGGGUUAAAUGCGGAAGACACAUUUCAGUUUAAUACAUUCAGUUGGACAACUGACUAGGUAUCCCCCCUUUUCCCCAUUGAGCAAGUUGAGGAAGCUAAACUCUUAGCUUGUUAUAAAAACAUGUUCUGUAUUUUUGACACAAAGAUCAACUGAACUAGUUGUUCAGGCUCUGAUCUUGUCUGACCUUGAUAACCGUCCGCCAAUAUGGUCAAGUGUAUCAAAGAAAGACCAAGCAAAAGCUGUAGCUCAAAACAGAGCAUCACCUUUAAAGGCCCAUAUACAAUUAACAUCAACAACAUCAACUACAUCAACUAACAUCAACAACAUCAACUAACAACAUCAACUAACAUCAACUUUCCUGGUUGAGGAUUAACGAGAAAUUAACUACUUUUCUUCUAGUUUUUAUGAGAGAAAAAUUACUGUGAUGAAAACUGCAGAUUGUCUGCAUCAUCAAAUAACAUUCAGCUCAGACACCCCAUACAUACCCAACAAGACAUGCCACCAGGGGUCUCUUCAGACACCCCAUACAUACCCAACAAGACAUGCCACCAGGGGUCUCUUCAGACACCCCAUACAUACCCAACAAGACAUGCCACCAGGGGUCUCUUCAGCCACCCCAUACAUACCCAACAAGACAUGCCACCAGGGGUCUCUUCAGACACCCCAUACAUACCCAACAAGACAUGCCACCAGGGGUCUCUUCAGCCACCCCAUACAUACCCAACAAGACAUGACCAGGGGUCUCUUCAGACACCCCAUACAUACCCAACAAGACAUGCCACCAGGGGUCUCUUCAGACACCCCAUACAUACCCAACAAGACAUGCCACCAGGGGUCUCUUCAGCCACCCCAUACAUACCCAACAAGACAUGCCACCAGGGGUCUCUUCAGACACCC